UCCACAGUAGCUCAGUGGUAGAGCUAUCGGCUGUUAACCGAUCGGUCGUAGGUUCGAGUCCUACCUCUAAAC
rnacentral:tRNA from 1 species